UAAUGGCAGGUCAGCAUACUGCCGUGAAUACGUUCCCGGGCCCUUGUACACACCGCCCGUCACACCAUGAGAGUUGGGAAUACCCGAAGCCUGUGAGCUAACUUAUAGAGGCAGCAGUCGAAGGUAGAAUCAAUGAUUGGGGUGAAGUCGUAACAAGGUAUC
rnacentral:rRNA from 1 species